rnacentral:rRNA from 1 species
UACGAAGGGGGCUAGCGUUGCUCGGAAUUACUGGGCGGAAAGGGUGCGUAGGCGGGUCUUUAAGUCAGAGGUGAAAUCCUGGAGCUCAACUCCAGAACUGCCUUUGAUACUGAGGAUCUUGAGUUCGGGAGAGGUGAGUGGAACUGCGAGUGUAGAGGUGAAAUUCGUAGAUAUUCGCAAGAACACCAGUGGCGAAGGCGGCUCCCUGGCCCGAUACUGACGCUGAGGCACGAAAGCGUGGGGAGCAAACAGG